UACGAAGGGGGCUAGCGUUGCUCGGAAUCACUGGGCGUAAAGCGCACGUAGGCGGGUUGGUAAGUCGGGGGUGAAAUCCUGGAGCUCAACUCCAGAACUGCCUUCGAUACUGGCGACCUUGAGUCCGGGAGAGGUGAGUGGAACUCCGAGUGUAGAGGUGAAAUUCGUAGAUAUUCGGAAGAACACCAGUGGCGAAGGCGGCUCACUGGCCCGGUACUGACGCUGAGAUACGAAAGCGUGGGGAGCAAACAGG
rnacentral:rRNA from 1 species